rnacentral:rRNA from 1 species
GACGAACGCUGGCGGCGUGCUUAACACAUGCAAGUCGAACGGAAAGGCCCUGCUUUUGUGGGGUGCUCGAGUGGCGAACGGGUGAGUAACACGUGAGUAACCUGCCCUUGACUUUGGGAUAACUUCAGGAAACUGGGGCUAAUACCGGAUAGGAGCUCCUGCUGAAUGGUGGGGGUUGGAAAGUUUCGGCGGUUGGGGAUGGACUCGCGGCUUAUCAGCUUGUUGGUGGGGUAGUGGCUUACCAAGGCUUGGACGGGUAGCCGGCCUGAGAGGGUGACCGGCCACAUUGGGACUGAGAUACGGCACAGACUCCUACGGGAGGCAGCAGUGGGGAAUAUUGCACAAGGGGCGGAAGCCUGAUGCAGCAACGCCGCGUGCGGGAUGACGGCCUUCGGGUUGUAAACCGCUUUCGCCUGUGACGAAGCGUGAGUGACGGUAAUGGGUAAAGAAGCACCGGCUAACUACGUG